rnacentral:lncRNA from 1 species
CAGGCUGGAGUGCGGUGGCAUGAUCUCGGCCCACUGCAACAUCCGCCUCCUAGGUUCAAGCGAUUCUUCUGCCUCAGCCUCCCGAGUAGCUGGACUACAGGCAUGCGCCACCACACCCAGCUAAUUUUUGUAUCUUCAGUAAAGAUGGGGUUUCACCAUAUUGGUCAGGCUGGUCUCAAACUCCUGACCUCAGGCGAUCCACCCACCUCAACCUCCCAAAGUGCUGGGAUUACAAGCACAAGCCACCGCGCCCGGCCAGGUUGACACAUAAGAUUAAUCAUUGCUCACAGUUACUAAGCGGCAGAGCUGGGGUUCGAAACUAGCAUUUCAGGCACUGUGCCCCACACUCGGCUUCAUGGCUCACCAGCCUGCCAGGUGGACACGCCCAGUCUCGCUCUUCCUGUCUCCACCCACUGUGUGUGUGCACCUGCCAUGUGCCAGGGGGCACGGAGGGGCACAAGUUGUGUUUCCAUCGCCUAGAUUUCCCCAGCUCAUGGUGGAGAUGGACACAUCCAAAACUCUGAUCUGAGAUGAGUCUCCUUGGUAUCUGAAGGAUGUCCUUCCUCUCUGGGUCUAGAACUCUGGAGUGACAGCUCUUUUCUUCCAGCACCGUAAACACGUUGCUCCCUUGUCUUCUGGAGCCCAUCAUUUCUGCUGAAAAAUAAUCUUAUUGUCCCCUUGAAGGAUGGUCCCUGAAACGUAAGGGACCCGACAGCCACCACGGCGAGGAAGGCGCAGAAGGGGCAGCACGGAGCCGUGAGCCACAGAGAUGCUGCAGCCUGGACCAGCCAUCAUCAGACAGGCGUGUGCCGUCAGCGCUCAACGUGUGAGAAAGCACAGAGCCAGGCCCUUCCCAAGACCCCACUAUGAACCCGAUUGCUUCGGCCUGGCUGCCUUCCUCCAAAGGGGUGCAGGCGGGGCCCACGGGACCCCAGUUCUCUAGUCUCGCCUGACUCUAGGCAGAACUCUAGUGGCUCUGAUCUCUGGGCAGAACUGACUCAAGAGCCACUGAAGAGACCUUCGCCUGGGGUCCUAGACUGGGCUGCAAGGAGUCUUUGAAUCUCUUGAGAUUGUGCACUAAGUAUUUACCUGCACGCAUUUUUCCAGGAAGAGGGCCUGCGGCUUGCAUCAUAUCCCCACCGUGGUCUGUGACCAAGAAAGUAGUCAGCAUCUUUAGGCUAGAGGAGGCGGGAGCCCCGGAUUCCAAUCGCAGUUCUCCCUGGCUGUGUGAGCUUGAUUUGUCCUUUCUCUCUCUGAGCCCUGAUUCUGCCUCUUUUCUGCAAGGACCUUGAUCGCUGGGGGCGGCAGGGCUCUGUCUGCUGAACCCCAGAUCCCUCUGCACUUUCCCUGCUCUGCUCAGUAGCGUGGGGCACUGGCCCAGCAAAGUUCAUUUCCAGGUUCUUGUUGUGUUCUGACCCUGAGAGGCUCUGGCCGGGACUGGGAGGGUGGGAGGGUGGGAGGCCCAGGUAUCUGCCCACAUCUCUGCUUCAGGCACCAGCUCUGGCAGGGGCGGCCUCUGUAGUUCACUUCCUACAGGUGGCCCCUUCUUCCACGGGGCCCCCAAGGGGUGCGAAUCUCACCCUCCAUACACCUCUUUUUGGACCCUCUGUGUAUUAAACUCCCUAAGGAGCCACCUGACGUGAGCUCUGGAGCCUGAGCCGUGGCUGAUAACCAGGUGAUUGCCAAGUGCCUUGAACACCAAUAUUCCCACCCAGGGUUGCCCAGUGACUUCACAGCAGGGCAGCGUUCCCCCGUGCUUGCCCUGGAACCCCUUUUUGGUUGACAAAUUGUAUGUUUUCAGAAUGGUUUGAGAUUUACAGCAAAACAGAGAAGACAGCCCAGAAAGCACUCAUAUCCCCUCGCCCUGCCACCCCUCAUCCUCAUCCGCAUUGGCGUGGGCCUGUCACAGCCAUCCACCUGCUCGUGACCAAAAUCCACUUUAGCCAGAUUUCCUUCAUUACCUAGUGUCCCUUUUCUGUCCAGGACCCCAUCCCGGACACCAUAUGAUAUCUCCUCCCCUUGGGCUCCUCCUGGCUGUGACGGUUUCCCAGACUUUCCUCGUCUUGGUUUUUAUUUUUUUUGAGACAGAGUCUCGCUCUGUCACCCAGGAUGGAGUGCAGUGGCACAAUCUCGGCUCACUGCAAGCUCCGCCUCCCGGGUUAACGCCAUUCUCCUGCCUCAGCCUCCUGAGUAGCUGGGACUACAGGCACCCGCCACCACGCCCAGCUAAUUUUUUGUAUUUUUAGUAGAGACAGGGUUUCAUUGUGUUAGCCAGGAUGGUCUCCAUCUCCUGACCUCGUGAUCCGCCCACCUCAGCCUCCUAAAGUGCUGUGGAUUACAGGCAUGAGCCACAGCGCCCUGCCUCUUUUUUUUUUUUUUCUGAGCUGAAGUCUUGCUCUGUCACUCAGGCCAGAGUGAAGUAGCAUGAUCUCGGCUCCCUGCAACCUCUGCCUCCUGUGUUCAAGCAAUUCUCAUGCCUCAGCCCCUAAGUGUCUGGGACUACAGGCCCAUGCCACCCACCACGCCCAGGUAAUUUUUUUUUUUUUUUGUAUUUUUAGUAGAGACAAGGUUUCACUGUGUUGGCCAAGCUGGUCUCAAACUCCUGACCUCAGGUGAUCGCCUUGGCCUCCCGAUUUCCUUGUCUUCAAUGCUGGGCAGUUUUGAGCAGCGCUGCUCAGGUGUUUGUAGGGCAUUCCUGGGCGAGAUCCGUCUGCUGCAUGCCUCACAGUUGGGCUGGGUGAUGGGUGGUUAAGUUUGGGAGGAAGAGCAUGGGGGCAACGCACCCUCUCCCCACACACAUCAGGGACACACCAUCAGCGGGGCACGCCACGGUUGGUGCUGGCCUUGAGUGAAGGGCUGAGGUGCACCCGUCUCUCCAUGGUAAAGCCACUUCCUCCUUCCCACCCUGUCUCCUCGGGAAGCCUGGACCCCCUGUUGCGGAGCCCCUUCUGGACCAGUGCGCCUGGGAAAUGCUGAGCCAGUUCCAGCCUAGCACACAGUAGGUGCCUAAUUGAGCCUCCCCGAACUGGAUGGAGCAUGGGAAAUCAACCCACGGCUGUGGCCUCAUUAGGAAGGAAGUUUUCCCUCCACUCAACUCCCUCUUGGCUUGUGGUCUAAUUAAGCUCUGCUGCUCCCUCGGGCCUGGGCCGGUUUGCACGGCUCACUCCCGACUUGAGGGGUUCCCGCCAGGCCCUGCUGGCUCCAGCUUCUGCCCACCCAGAAGGAGUGUGCCGGGGAGCUGAGGCCCCCACAAGGGCUCCCAGCCAGAAAGGCAUCUGGAUCCCCCACCAGCGCCCUUUCUAACCACCACAUAAGCAUCAAAAGCACACGGCACAGACAAGCCCACAAACAGAAGAGCAGAGGGUCCGGCUCUCCCCGCCUCCUCCCCCGGCCACACCCGGCAUUUCUAGGAGACUUUUCCCCAAGGCUCUGAGCCCU